rnacentral:rRNA from 1 species
GACGAACGCUGGCGGCGUGCUUUACACAUGCAAGUCGAACGGUAAGGCCCUUCGGGGUACACGAGUGGCGAACGGGUGAGUAACACGUGGGUGAUCUGCCCUGCACUUCGGGAUAAGCCUGGGAAACUGGGUCUAAUACCGGAUAGGACCACUGCCUGCAUGGGUGGUGGUGGAAAGCUUUUGCGGUGUGGGAUGGGCCCGCGGCCUAUCAGCUUGUUGGUGGGGUGAUGGCCUACCAAGGCGACGACGGGUAGCCGGCCUGAGAGGGUGACCGGCCACACUGGGACUGGGAUACGGCCCAGACUCCUACGGGAGGCAGCAGUGGGGAAUAUUGCACAAUGGGCGCAAGCCUGAUGCAGCGACGCCGCGUGAGGGAUGACGGCCUUCGGGUUGUAAACCUCUUUCAGCACCGACGAAGCGCAAGUGACGGUAGGUGCAGAAGAAGGACCGGCCAACUACGUGCCAGCCGCCGCCGCGG